CACUUGUGAAAUACCGAUGGGGAACAUCAGGUCUGAAUGAGUAGAAAUUCAGUUUUUGAAAAAUAAGUGAGAAGCAAUGUUUGCAGCGAUAAUCACAACCUUGACCCUCUCCGUCUGUGCAGUGGGUGCAGACGUUCCUGUCCUUAUCCAGUCCCCGAGCAUACAGCGUGUCACUGAGGGUCGCACGGCAUGGUUAUGGUGUACCAUGAUCAACGCCAGGCCGGAAAAGACUGACCUCCACUGGUAUCAAAAACUAUCUGGGCAGGACAAGGUGGUUUUAACACACAAGGCAGAUGGCAGCUCAUCGAGGGUAUGGGGUUUCAAUGAGAGGUUCCAGUCUUACAGAGACACGUCCAACAACAGCUUCACCCUGUCGAUCACAGACUUGGUGCACAAUGAUUCUGCCUUCUAUUUCUGCAGAGUGUGGGGAAGCAUAAAUGGGAAAGGCACCCAGCUCAUCGUAACCAAGAUGUCCCGAGCCCCAUCGUACCUGGCCUGGAUCAUUGUGGUUGUCGUGCUGGGAGUUCUCGCUGUCACUGGAGGCAUUUUCCUCAUCAGACGCAGAGCGUUUAGAAACCACCCGUCCCACCCACCUACAGCAACUGAUCACCGGAGCCCAGGGGCAGUUUAUGAAAAUGGUUCCGUGGCCAGGGGUGUCCCGGUUUCAGGAGGUCACCAGGGGGUCGAUUCAAACAACACCUACAUGGCUCUGCAACGUCCCACUCAGUCCAUCUACGGUCAUCUCCAAGCUGACAAUAAACCACCGUCUACCAGCUGAACCACAGUGAGAAUCGUCUGUGUGACCACCGCUGGGGGAGGAGCCCCGGAUGGAUUUCUGCACAGACACACUCAUCAGACGUGGAAAAGUUUAAGGCCCAGACAUUCUACUCAUUUGACGUGUGAGACAAGAACUUCACCAGAGACAGUAUUUGGGAUGUUUCUAGGGGAAACCAAUCCUGGUGGGCGGUUGAGAUCGAGGGUGUGAAAUGUGAUCAGGAUCUAGUUGUUGGAACAUAGAACAGUUCAUCACUGGACAGGCCAUUCAGCCCACAAUGCUGUGCUGAUCUUGGUGACAAUUUGUACUAAAUGUCCUCCUCCUGUGUAUCAUCCAUAUCCCUCCAUUCCCUUCAAUGUCAUUUUGAACAUUGGACACAGAACAAUACUGCCCUGGACAGACCCUUUGGACUUGAUGUGUCAAAAUAAUUAAAAUUCACAAUCAAAUGACCAGUGAAACUAGUAAUUUCAGCCCACACAAUGUCCAUAUCCUUCCACUUCCUGCCAAUUCAUGUCUCUAUCCAAGGACCUCUUGAACAUUUCUGUCAUAUUUGUCUCCACCACCACCACCCCGGCAGUGAAUUCCAGACUCUCCCCCUUUUCUGUUUCAGAAACUUGCCCCUCAUCUAUCCUUUGAAAUUACCCUCUCUCACUUUCAAUGCCUGCCCUCUGGGAUGAGACAUUUCACCGGUGGGAAAAAGACACUGGCAUCUAUCUGUGCCCCACAUAAUAUUAUAUGUAUUAAUAUAUUUGGGCACCAUGGUUGGAUAAUGGUUAGUGUGAUGCUAUUUCAGCUUGUGACGUUGGAGUUCAGAGUUCAAUCCCAUCAUCCUCUCAGGGAUUUGUAUGUCCACCCUGUGGAACAUGUGAGCUUUCAAGUCAAGUCAAGUCAAGUCACUUUUUAUUGUCAUUUCGACCGUAACUGCUGGUACAGUACAUAGCAAAAAUAAGACUACAUUUUUCAGGACCAUGGUGUCACAUGAAACAGUACAAAAGCUAGGCUGAACUAUGGAAAAAACAACACAGAAAGAAACUGCACUAGACUACAGACCUACCCAGGACUGCAUAAAGUGCACAAACAGUGUAGACAUUACAAUAAGUAAUAAACAAGACAAUAGGGCAGUAAACAACAACACACACAAAAUGCCGGUGGAACACAGCAGGCCAGGCAGCAUCUAUAGGGAGAAGCGAUGUCGACAUUUUGGGCCGAGACCCUUUGUCAGGACUAACUGAAAGGAAAGAUAGUAAGAGAUUUGAAAGUAGAGGGGCGAGGGGGAAAUGUGAAAUGAUGGGAGAAGACUGGAGGGGGUGGGAUGAAGCUAAGAGAUGGAAAGGUGAUUGGUGAAAGUGAUACGGAGCUGGAGAAGGGAAAGGAUCAUGGGACGGGAGGCCUCAGGAGAAAGAAAGUGGGGGGGAGCACCAGGGGGAGAUGGAAAACAGACAAACAACUAAAUAUGUCAGGGAUGGGGUAAAAAGGGAAGGAGGGGCAUUAACAGAAGUUAGAGAAGUCAAUGUUCAUGCCGUUAGGUUGGAGGCUACCCAGCCGGUAUAUAAGGUGUUGUUCCUCCAACCUGAGUUUGAAUUCAUUUUGACAAUUGAGGAGGCCAUGGAUAGACAUAUCAGAAUGGGAAUGGGACGUGGAAUUAAAAGAUCCUGCUAUUUCUGGUGGACCGAACAUAGGUGUUCCACAAAACAGUCUCCCAGUCUGUAUUGGGUCUCGCCAAUAUAUAAAAGGCCACACCGGGAGCACCGGACGCAGUAUACCACACCAGCCGACUCACAGGUGAAGUGUCGCCUCACCUGGAAGGACUGUCUGGGCCCUGAAUGGUGGUGAGGGAGGAAGUGUAAGGGAAGGUGUAGCACUUGUUCCGUUUACAAG